GACCCAAGGUAUGGCACAAAGGCAACACAAUCAGAUAAUCAAUAUGAGUCCCUUUAUUAUCUCCAACAUUGCCCCCAAUGUCCUGGUUACCUUCUGGCUGGAGAAAAACUCUCCCAUUAACAGCCUUUGGCUGCUGAGAAUCAGGUGCAAAACG